GUGGGGAAUAUUGGACAAUGGGCGAAAGCCUGAUCCAGCCAUGCCGCGUGUGUGAAGAAGGUCUUCGGAUUGUAAAGCACUUUAAGUUGGGAGGAAGGGCAGUAAGUUAAUACCUUGCUGUUUUGACGUUACCAACAGAAUAAGCACCGGCUAACUUCGUGCCAGCAGCCGCGGUAAUACGAAGGGUGCAAGCGUUAAUCGGAAUUACUGGGCGUAAAGCGCGCGUAGGUGGUUCAGCAAGUUGAAGGUGAAAUCCCCGGGCUCAACCUGGGAACUGCCUCCAAAACUACUGAGCUAGAGUACGGUAGAGGGGAGUGGAAUUUCCUGUGUAGCGGUGAAAUGCGUAGAUAUAGGAAGGAACACCAGUGGCGAAGGCGACUACCUGGACUGAUACUGACACUGAGGUGCGAAAGCGUGGGGAGCAAACAGGAUUAGAUACCCGUGUAGUCC
rnacentral:rRNA from 1 species